rnacentral:rRNA from 1 species
AUGGCCUCCUCCGCGUCGGCGGCCUCGCCGCUCACCUGCCACCAUCUGGGCAUCCGCCACCGCCCCCACCUCCCCUCGUUCUCCCUCCGCCGCCGCUCCACCUCCUCACUCUCAUCUAAGCCCAUCUCCCUCUCCCUCUCCCACUCCCAUUCCCUCCCCAAGCCCCUGACCCCGUCCACAGCUCGCCACCUCCUCCCGCCCGUCGCCGCGGCGCCGGCAUCUCCCCCCGCGCCGGUCUCGCCGCCGGCGAAGCCAGCCCUGCAGGGCGCGGCCAUCAAGCCGCUGCUGGCCUCCAUUGCCACGGGGGUCAUCAUCUGGUUUAUCCCUGCCCCCGCCGGCGUGGCCCGCGACGCGUGGCAGCUGCUCGCCGUGUUCCUCGCCACCAUCGUCGGGAUCAUCACGCAGCCGCUGCCGCUGGGUGCCGUCGCGCUGCUUGGCUUGGGCGCCGCCGUGCUCACCCGCACCCUCACCUUCGCCGCCGCCUUCUCCGCCUUCGGGGACCCCAUCCCCUGGCUCAUCGCGCUUGCCUUCUUCUUCGCUCGGGGGUUCAUCAAGACGGGGCUCGGGAACCGCGUCGCCUACCAGUUCGUCUCGGCCUUCGGGGGCUCCACGCUCGGCCUCGGUUACUCGCUCGUCUUUGCCGAGGCGUUCCUCGCGCCGGCAAUCCCCUCGGUCUCGGCGCGGGCUGGCGGCAUCUUCCUCCCACUCGUGAAGUCCCUCUGCGAGGCCUGUGGAUCGCGCACUGACGACGGCACAGAGCGAAAGCUCGGCGCCUGGCUCAUGCUCACAUGCUUCCAGACAUCGGUCAUUUCGUCAGCGAUGUUCCUCACGGCGAUGGCGGCCAAUCCGCUUGCUGCGAACCUGACGCUCAGCACCAUCGGGCAGGGGAUCGGGUGGACGCUGUGGGCAAAGGCGGCCAUUGUGCCAGGGCUGCUGUCGCUGCUGAUUGUGCCGCUGGUCCUCUAUGUCAUCUACCCACCGGAGGUGAAGACCAGCCCUGAUGCACCACGCUUGGCCAAGGAGAGGCUGGCAAAGAUGGGACCCAUGAGCACGGAGGAGAAGAUCAUGGCCGGCACGCUUCUGCUCACGGUUGGACUUUGGAUCUUUGGAGGAAUGCUGAGUGUAGAUGCAGUGUCUGCAGCGAUUCUUGGCCUAUCUGUCCUCCUAAUUACAGGAGUUGUUACAUGGAAAGAGUGCUUGGCGGAGUCUGUAGCAUGGGAUACCCUUACUUGGUUUGCUGCGCUGAUUGCGAUGGCUGGCUAUCUUAACAAAUAUGGGUUGAUUUCUUGGUUCAGCGAGACUGUUGUUAAGUUUGUUGGAGGUCUUGGUCUGUCCUGGCAACUCUCAUUCGGCGUAUUGGUGCUGAUGUACUUCUACUCCCACUACUUCUUUGCUAGUGGUGCUGCACACAUCGGAGCAAUGUUCACUGCGUUCCUGUCUGUGGCGAGUGCCUUGGGCACCCCUCCACUUUUCGCUGCCAUGGUUAUGUCAUUCCUUUCAAACCUCAUGGGUGGCCUGACCCAUUACGGCAUAGGGUCAGCCCCCGUCUUCUAUGGAGCCGGCUAUGUUCCGCUGGCCGAGUGGUGGGGCUAUGGAUUUGUCAUCUCCGUUGUUAACAUCAUAAUCUGGCUUGGUGCCGGAGGUUUCUGGUGGAAGAUGAUUGGUUUGUGGUGA